rnacentral:misc_RNA from 1 species
GGUGAACCUGCGGAAGGGAUCAUUAACACGUAUCCAACGUUAAACAACCCUGUGAACUUCUAUUCUUGCAGCCCAUGAGGAACAGCAAUCCCGGUAAAUCAUUGCCUAGGCGGCAUUUUCUAGUGGAGUGAUUAAGGGGCGCGGUGGCCCUGUGACAUGUCUGCCGGUCGGUGAUCGACCUCUGGCAACCGUGAGGCGUUAUCCUUACAUAGUCAGUGACACUGUCAUUCACUAACUGCUUGGGGAAGCCAUGCCAGUGCAUCUACCACUCAUUGCAAGGGUUUCGAAUUAAAAAUGUUUGUGGUAACGCGCUAGGUAAAAAAAACCGAACAACUGUUAACAAUGGAUAUCUUGGUUCUC